rnacentral:rRNA from 1 species
UAGAGUUUGAUCAUGGCUCAGAUUGAACGCUGGCGGCAGGCCUAACACAUGCAAGUCGAGCGGUUGAARGRAGCUUGCUUCUUGAUUCAGCGGCGGACGGGUGAGUAAUGCCUAGGAAUCUGCCUGGUAGUGGGGGACAACGUUUCGAAAGGAACGCUAAUACCGCAUACGUCCUACGGGAGAAAGCAGGGGACCUUCGGGCCUUGCGCUAUCAGAUGAGCCUAGGUCGGAUUAGCUAGUUGGUGAGGUAAUGGCUCACCAAGGCGACGAUCCGUAACUGGUCUGAGAGGAUGAUCAGUCACACUGGAACUGAGACACGGUCCAGACUCCUACGGGAGGCAGCAGUGGGGAAUAUUGGACAAUGGGCGAAAGCCUGAUCCAGCCAUGCCGCGUGUGUGAAGAAGGUCUUCGGAUUGUAAAGCACUUUAAGUUGGGAGGAAGGGCAGUAAGCUAAUACCUUGCUGUUUUGACGUUACCGACAGAAUAAGCACCGGCUAACAUCUGUGCCAGC